rnacentral:lncRNA from 1 species
CCCAUCUAACAUUUAAGUACAAUUUGACCAGUUAGUUCUGCUUUUGGGUCAUUUAUCGGCAUCGUAACUUAAAAUCUGUCAAUACUAAAAGUUUUGACAGGAUCAUGCUGGGAUGUCGAUAUUAAUUCACGCCCCAUUAGUGAUCCAUUAUCAUCAUGUUGAUGAUCAUCUUCUUUCUCUUUCUCACUCUCUAAUUCUUUCUCUUUCUCACUU